GAUGAACGCUGGCGGCGUGCCUAAUACAUGCAAGUCGAGCGAAUGGAUUAAGAGCUUGCUCUUAUGAAGUUAGCGGCGGACGGGUGAGUAACACGUGGGUAACCUGCCCAUAAGACUGGGAUAACUCCGGGAAACCGGGGCUAAUACCGGAUAACAUUUUGAACCGCAUGGUUCGAAAUUGAAAGGCGGCUUCGGCUGUCACUCAUGGAUGGACCCGCGUCGCAUUAGCUAGUUGGUGAGGUAACGGCACACCAAGGCAACGAUGCAUAGCCGACCUGAGCAGGUGCUCGGCGACACUGGGACUGGGACGCGGCCCAGACUCCUACGGGAGGCAGCAGUAGGGACGCUUCCGCAAUGGACGACAGUCUGACGGAGCAACGCCGCGUGAGUGAUGAAGGCUUUCGGGUCGUAAAACUCUGUUGUUAGGGAAGAACAAGUGCUAGUUGAAUAAGCUGGCACCUUGACGGUACCUAACCAGAAAGCCACGGCUAACUACGUGCCAGCAGCCGCAGUAA
rnacentral:rRNA from 1 species